rnacentral:piRNA from 1 species
AAGACUGUUUUAAAAAGCGACAU